AGCCAUGCGAGUCGAGAGGUGUAAGACCUCGGCAUACUGCUCAGUAACACGUGGUUAACCUGCCCUAAGGUGGAGAAUACUCCCGGGAAACUGGGGUUAAUGCUCCAUAGUGGAUAUGUCCUGGAAUGGUAUAUCCUCGAAAGAUCCGUCGCCUUAGGAUGGGACUGCGUCCGAUUAGGUUGUUGGCGGGGUAACGGCCCACCAAGCCAUUGAUCGGUACGGGUUGUGGGAGCAAGAUCCCGGAGAUGGAUUCUGAGACAUGAAUCCAGGCCCUACGGGGCGCAGCAGGCGCGCAAACUUUACAAUGCGAGCAAUCGUGAUAAGGAAACCCUGAGUGCCUGUCGAUGCAGGCUGUUCAUAUAUCUAAAUCAUAUGUGAAGAAAGGGCAGGGCAAGACCGGUGCCAGCCGCCGCGGUAAUACCGGCUGCUCGAGUGAUGGCCACUAUUACUGGGUUUAAAGCGUCCGUAGCUUGACUGUUAGGUCCCUUGGGAAAUCUUCGCGCUUAACGUGAAGGCGUCUAAGAGAUACCGGCAGUCUUGGAACUGGGAGAGGUAAACCGUACUUCGGGGGUAGGAGUGAAAUCUUGUAAUCCUCGAGGGACGACCUAUGGCGAAGGCAGUUUACCAGAACAGCUUCGACAGUGAGGGACGAAAGCUGGGGGAGCAAACGGGAUUAGAUACCCCGGUAGUCCCAGCCCGUAAACAAUGUGCGUUAGGUGUGUCGGUAACCACGCGUUACUGAUGCGCCGAAGAGAAAUCGUGAAACGCACCACCUGGGAAGUAC
rnacentral:rRNA from 1 species